rnacentral:ncRNA from 2 species
CUGUCCGAGGGGCGCUGCAGCAGGUUUACCCUGUCAGGCUCGGAUGGGGCGUUGCUCGCCAGCCUCCGGCUGCGGGCUUUAUAGGUGUAAACCUGAACGCACAACGGCGCCCAUUCAUA